UCCGGUCGGCGCCUCCUGCGAAGAGCUCGGCGGCCGGCAGAGACGCGGGUGGCCAGCGAUGGCCGCGGAAGGGGCGAGCUGGGGCCCAGUCCACAGAGGCUGACUGGGCCGAGGAUUGGAGACCUUUGUCGGACGUAUACCGUGUGUUCCUCACGUGUCUGUUCCGCCGCCGCCACCUCCCAGCAAGGGACUCAGCAGUCACCUAUCACCUGUCACCACCUGUGCAGUGGAGAUGGGGAGGCAGAAGAGAAAGCAAGUGGAUCCCACCUCAAGUGAUGAAAAAGGAUCACAUCCAGGAUCCCAUGUUACAUGUAAUUUAAUUGUCCUAUCUAAUCUCCUCUUGCCUGUGGCAGAUUCAGAUUCUCCUUGUUUUUGAUGGCCUUGACAGUUUUGAGGAGUGCUGCUCAGGAAAGGAACAGAAGUAAACAUGGAAUUCAGCCUGAGAAGGAGGGAGGUGCAGAGGCUGUGUGCACGAGGCAGGUGGAGUGUCAGAGCACAGGUGUUACAGCCACCUUGAAACCGUGCAAAGCAGAGACCGAGUACUUGACACAUCAUCACAGCACCCAUCCAGUAAACACAACUGUGGUCAGCAUCCCCAAGAACAGCAAGGGCUGCCCACCUCUGGUCUUACCAUUGCAGCUGUAGGUAAACGUGGGUCUUGGAAGUCCCAUUUCCCAAUUCAUCCCAUGUCAUGUUCCCCACGACUAAAACACUCAGCGUCACUCCAGGGGAACUGUGCAGCACGAAAUAACCACACAAGAGACAGAAAGAGAAAGAGCGAGCUCUUGCUGAACCUUUUAUUGAAGAGAAGCCAUUCAAAUGAGGCCAGGGGUCAGAUUUCAGGGGGCUGAGUCUAGCUUCCUGAUGUUGCUGUCAGCAGGUUGACUGACAUCUAGGAAGGCCACACCCAAAGGCAGAGCAAGAGAAGGGGGAUACACAAAGGCAUUUCCAUGGAAUAUUCUAUCCCAAACAGGACAAAGGGGUAGUAUCACAAAGGAACAGGUGAGUAUAGUUCAAUCCAUGGGAUGACGCCUACGUUUGAAGAUGUGUCCUCAAAUUUCUGGGACCGGGGCAAUGUCCAGGUCACUCAUUACAAGAUAUAGUGAUGGUCAAAAGCCUCUCCGCUCCAGGCCGGAAGACACAGAUCAUUCAGAGUGGCUCCCCACAAUCCCACUGGAUCCAGCCUGUGACACUUGCAUCCAGUGUCUUUGUGGCGAGAACAGCAGUGGGUAUUUUAUCCUCUCUAGAGUCAAGGGAUAGGGAAAGCCCCACAGCUCUGGUUCCUAGGGUCAUUGGAGUAGCCUGGUCUGCCCUGUUGUCCCAGAGCAAUAUUCACAUUGACUGUAUUCACUCUCAGCGUCCCCAAGUGGACUAUAGUCAAUAAGUCACACUCUUGCCCUCCCUGCUUCUACAGGGACUUAGUUGGCAGGAGCCACCACCACUCCUCUUUGUAAGAUUUCUGUGUUGUUUUUGUAUUUAACUUUUCUUUUUCAUGUCAUGAGUUCUCUUUCUUGUGGUGUCUCUCGCUGUUUCCCAUGUGUUUGGUGGUCUUUUGCAGGCUCCUUUGUAUUUUCAAGUGAAAAUUCAGUGGUUUCUAAGGUAGUCACAAAGGAAUGCGACUGCCAGCACUCACAUUCCAGAACAUUCUCAUCUCUCCAGAAAGAAACCCUGUGUCCCUUAGCUGUCAUUCCCUGUUCCACCCCCCACAGUCACUAGCAACAGUUAAUCUGCUUUCUGACUCUCUGGAUUGCCUCUUCUAGAUACUUUGUAUAAAUGGAGUUUUAUAGUAUGUGGCCUCUUGUGACUAGCUUAUUUUCACUAAGCAUAAUGUCCUCGGUGUUCAUCCAUGCUGUAGUGUGUCACUGGUUCAUUCCUUUUUAUGGAUAAAUAAUAUUCCACUAUAUGAAUAGACCAUGUUAUGUUUACCCAUUCAUCCAUUGCAGGACAUUUGGGCUAUUUCCACCUUUUGACUACAGGGACUAGUGCUGCUAUGAACAUUCAUGUACAAGUUUCCAUGUGAACAUAAUGUGUUCAUUUUUCUUGGGCAUAUACUAUCUGGUAGUGAAACAUAUGGGCACUCUGUGUUUCACUUUUUUUUAAUAUUUUUUUUUUAGUUGUAGAUGGACACAAUAUCUUUAUUUCUUUAAUUUUAUGUGGUGCUGAGGAUCAAACCCAGUGCCUCACACAUGUAAGGCAGGCGCUCUAGCACCGAGCCUCAGCCCCAGCCCCUGCAUUUCACUUUUUUUCCGCAAUACUGAGAAUGGAACCCAGAGCCUUGUGCAUGCUAGGCAAGUGCUCAACCACUGAACUGCAACCCCGGCCUUUAUUUUCCACUUUUGAACUGCCAGGCAGGUUUCUCCAGUCUGCUAUUUAUAAAUGAGAUGAAGACUUCACAUGCUUAUCAGUCAUGGUAAGCAGUUUACAAUUUUAAUGUCUCCAUCCUAGGCUAGAGAAAUAGCUCAGUGGUAGAGCUCAUGCUUAGUAUGUACAAGGCCCUGAGUUUAAUCCUCAGCACCCCAAGGAAAAGAAGGGAGAAAAGGAAUUCUAGCCUUGUUCCUCAUCCAGCAACCUAGAGGAAGACCCACAGGCAUUGCCAGGUCUUCCGCAGGUCAAGAAGCCUGGAUUCUGGGAGUCUGGACACCUCUUUCUCUUACAGAUGAAGCUGACUUGGAGGUCUGGUGGAAGGACCAGUCACUGUACAUCAGGGACUCAGCCUUAGUGAGGAGCCAUCUGCAAAUCUAGAGACUGACCAGGGCAACAGCACCCUUACAGCAGGGACAGGGACCUAGGAGCAGGCAGCUGGACUGGAUGUGCCCAGGUGGGAGCAGCAGCCAUCUCCCUAGAUCAGCUUUCCCACUCCCAGAGGUAGGGCCCAUGAAUUUGCCAGAGUUUACUUGUAAGAUGGCUGCAAGCUGCAAGAGCCCCUGGGGAAGGAUGAGCACUUAGGAUUCCAGGUUCUGCCCUACCCUGGCAACUUCCACACUCUGUAUCACAAGACCCUCUCAGUCCCUCAGAUAGGAGACCAGAAAGCCAGAUAAAAAACCACAGCCAGUAGCUGGGUGCAGUGGUGCUCGCCUGUAAUCCCAGUGGCUUGGGAGGCUGAGGCAAGAAGGAUCACAAGUUCAACGGCAGCCUCAGCAAAAAGCGAGGUGCUAAGCAACUCAGUGAGACCCUGUCUCUAAAUAAAAUACAAAAUAGGGCUGGAUGUGGCUCAGUGGCUGAGCGCUCCUGAGUUCAGUCCCCGAUAACACCCCCCGGCCCCCGACCAAAAAAACCCCUGCAGCCCGAGCAUUUCUUGGAGCACUCCACAGGCUCACCUCCAGGUGUUCAGAAUGAAGAACAAGUAGCUGGAUGUAAGCAAAGCCAGAUGUUUUCAGUCCAUUUAAAGCUCAGACAAACUGAUAGGAGCCAAAAGGGCAAAGGCCAGGAACAGAUAACUCACCAAAAACAGGAGUCCACUAACCUGAGCCUGGGUUAGCAAGUGCCAAGGUUGGGGCCCAGGAGUAGGGAUUGGCCAAGGCAAAGGCUUAGUCCAGCACAGGCAGGACCAACCCUCACUUUCCUCAGGGGUGGUGCCCACUUUAAUCAGAAAGACCCUUUGAGGACAUUUACCCACCAUAUUAUAGGGUUCGUGGUCUAACAAUAAAAAUCACUGGUGAAAGGGCUAUCCACAGGAGGGCGUUUCUUCCCAUCUAUAAAAGGUCAUCGUCAAGUGGAGCCUAAUUCAAAGCCCGGGGAUGGGACUGGUUUGGUGAGUCAUGUAGUUUCCACUAGAAACCACAGUGAGGAGGCCUACAACCUGUGGAGUGACAGUGGCUCCCAAACCCUGCGCCAGGCGCAGUCCAGAUGUCCCUCAGCACACACUUGCUCACACACUCUGUCUCUGAAAAGUGGCCAAAAGGGGUGGGGGCUGGGAUCAGCAAACCCUGGAACUUGGGUGUGGAACCUCAAUGCUCCAGUGCACAUGAUAUAAGAGAAAGGAGCAGGGUCCCAAGUAGCACCUGCCCCCUUUGUGGCCUUACUUAUGGCUGCAAAAGGUAAGAAGGGCAGUGGAAGAAGAAAUGGGGGACCAGCUGGUGGGCUCCAAGGGCAGCACACAACAACGGACUGAUGAGAGGUGUAGGGGUCAAGAGAAGAGAGGAAGGGGCUAGAGGGACAGUCUGAAAUUGGCCACUCUGGGGAAGGAAAGGAGCCCAGGAGGGUGGGCUCCUUCAUGUUGGCAUUGGUGGGUGGAGAUUUCCACUCCAUCCAGUCAGGGCCCCACAGCUUCGUAUGGUUGAAUUUGAGGGGAAAGAGGCAUCCUCAGUAGUGUGGUUACCGCAGUGGCUUCAGGUGAAGCUGAGAGGGAAAGGUGGGGAUGGGGAAAGCACCUUUAUCUUUGGUCCAUCUGUUAGACAACUCAUCCACUUGUCUCACUGGAUUGCACUUUGGGUGGUGGGCUCUGCUACAGCCCAAUGGGUCUCAGCAGGAGAGGUUGGGUGGCCCUUGUCACCCACAGGCACUGCUGGGUCUUCUACAUGUCAAGGAGCCAGAAUUCUGGGGGCUGGACACCCCCUUCUCUUGCAGUUGAUGCUGGCCUGGAUCCCUGACUGGGGGACCAGGGACCAUACAUCAGGACUAAGGCACAGUGAGGAGCCCCUUAGAACUCCAGAGGCUGGCCAGGGCAACUGCAGCAUUGCAAGGACAGGGACUGAGGAGCAGGGAGUUGGAUUGGGUACACCAGGUGGGAGGGGCAGCCCCCCACCCUCACCUUCCCACUCCCAGAGGUGGACUCACCUCCAGGGCCCAGGCUUCCCUGGGCACAUGCUUGCCUUCCUCUUCCUCCCCCAGAUCCCUACUGCCUGCCUUCCUUCCUCCCUCUGGACUGUCACCUCUGUCCUGCCCCCAGGAAUGCUGCUGUUCUGCUCUGGCAAAGAAUGGCUGUGAGACACCUCGCAUAGGAUCUGGCUCUCCACUAAGCUGUCAGCAAACCGAAAUGCUGCACUUCCUGGUCCCUGUGGCCUGAAGGAAAGCAGCUCAAAUGUGUCCAUCUUGGCCUCUCCAGCUCCCUACACCGGGCCUGGUGCUCAGUAGGUGGCAAAAGUCUGUUGACCAAAUGAACAGCAGCCAGCCCUUGCUCUUAGUGGCCAAGAAAAGGACACCACCACCCAGGUUCAUUAUAAUCCCACACAUUGUAGCUGAGCCCCCACCCUGUGGAUCAGGCCUCCCAAACUCUACAGGAAACGGGAGGGCACCCUACGCCCACUUCAGGGGGAAUCUGUCAGAGACCAGGGGUGGCAGUUGUGGAGGGGAUCAGUGACAUGAAUCAUGUAGAGGAGGCAGCAUUAAGGAGCUCAGAGAACAAGGCAGGGCAAAGGAGGGGCACCCUCCACCCCAACUUGCCAUCUCCUUCACUGACCCAUUGCCCACUGACCAUCUUUAAAUGAACUAGCUCAUACCUUCAUCCAGUGACUGGCACAGGGUCAAGAAGAUUCCCCCAAGACAUUGUCCUCCCCUGCCUCAGCUCUCCCAGUAUAUCAGGGGCCUGAGACCCAGAGGCUGCGCUCAUCAGGACUUUGGGUGGGAGAGAAAACAUUAUUAUUAUUAUUACUAGAUCUAUCUUCCUCAGGGCCCAGGCGUGCUGGGACUUCAUGUUCCAGAAUAGGAGCAUGUUCAACCCACACAGAUGCUUCUAUUCCAGGGGCAGGCCAAGGUCAUGAGGAACUAGAAACUGCUUUUCCCAGAAAGGCAGUUGGGGAGUAUUGAGUGGAAGCCUUCCAGCUGUCUGUGGGGUCAGGCCCCUCUGAGUCCAGUAGAGGGGGUGGAAAGCUGUAGGCAACAUACUUUAAAGAAGGGCAUCUCCCUUUACACUGUGCACAUCUGGGCUGGGUGACUCCUUGCCGCAAGGGACUGUCUGGUGCAUGAUAAAGACAUUCGGUAGCAUCUCUGGACCAUUCUCCCCCCGUUGCAACAGCCAAAUAUUUCUCUGGGCAUCACCAGGUACCUCUUGGGAGCCCUGGUGAGAAUCAUCACUGUGCAGAACAGAACCUUUGUGGAUGUUGAGGGCCUUGUGCCACAUUCAGUGUCAUCACAAGGGUCUUCAUAAGAGGAAGACAGGAGGGUCAGAGCUAAAGAGGGAGACAUGGAGGUGGAAGCACAGGUCAGCAACUGGAAGACACAGCACUGCUGGCUCUGAAGACCGAGGAAGGGGCCACGAGCUGAGGGAUGCAGGCGCCUCUAGAAGCUGGAAAAGAUAGGAGAGAGAGGUUCUCCCUGAAGCCCUCCGAAAGAACCAGUCCUGCUGACACCUGACUUUGGGGAUUGGACCUCUGGCACUGUAAAAUAACAAAUUUGCCUUUUUCUCACCAAUUAGAAAAAAAUAAGUUACCUACAAA